UCCGCAGUCAGCAGAGCGCGUUUCCCGGUCUUGGCGAAACGGCUCUGCAGCAAUUCGGGAGAAGGGAAGUGUUCGCAGCAGCGUUUCAACUUUGCAUUUCCAUCGUAGGAAUGCAAAGUAGCGGGGCUGUGCUUGCCGAGACUUCCGUGGGACUCUCGCAGCGGAGAGCCCAUUCUUGCGGAUUCAUCCCCGUGUGACGCGGGGUGAGCGCUGUCGGACGGGUCUACGGAUCAUCCGCAGGCACCAAACGGCAGCGUGGCAUUCACAUUCCCGGCACUGCUGCUCCCCGUGGGGAAACACUGCGGUUUUCCUCAUUUGCCCUAAACAAAAUCAGUUAGUGAUGAAAACCAUCACCCUGUCACCCAGUUUUCUGCAGACCCAUCAGUCUGUGAACGCGCUGAGUUGCCAACCUGACCCAAGAGGAGAAUCCAGGUAAAACCCAAACCCAGAGGAGCAGACAGAACACAGACUUGGACAAGCCUUGACUGCAGCAUGGCUCAGAGUAGCUGUUUCCAAGAAAAAACUUCUUCCUCAGCAUAGACUGUGCUGCACUGGCUCAGAUGCUCCAGUGCUGAAGCAUGUGGCCUUAAUCUUCAGAAGUGGCAAAUCCUAUUUACUGUAUCCCACAGAAAGCUGAGCAUGGAACUCUUCAGGCUCUCUAAUUGAAGCAAAAAUCACUGGAGUGGAAAGUGUCCUGGCUCUUGAGGAGAUGUCAAAGUACAGAACAUGGCAGACACCUGGGGGUUUGGGAAACUGUGACAGCUACAAGCCGACCUUUGGCAAAUUUAAUCUGCAAAUGGAUUCCUGCUUAGGACAGCUAAUGCUUUUAGUUAUUGUAAAGGCUUGUUCCUGGAUUUUAAAAAGCUGAGAAUA